rnacentral:rRNA from 1 species
GAUCAUUAUCAAAACAGCGGACUUCGGUCCUUGCUGCACCCUUGUCUUUUGCGUACCGUAUGUUUCCUCGGCGGGCUUGCCUGCCGGUUGGACAAUAUCAAACCUUUUUGUAGUUGCAAUCAGCGUCAGAAAACAAAUAAUAAUUACAACUUUCAACAACGGAUCUCUUGGUUCUGGCAUCGAUGAAGAACGCAGCGAAAUGCGAAAAGUAGUGUGAAUUGCAGAAUUCAGUGAAUCAUCGAAUCUUUGAACGCACAUUGCGCCCCUUGGUAUUCCAUGGGGCAUGCCUGUUCGAGCGUCAUUUUGUACCCUCAAGCACUGCUUGGUGUUGGGCGUUUGUCCUGCAAAGGACUCGCCUGAAAGCGAUUGGCGGCCAACGUACUGGUGGUAGAGCGCAGCACAAUUUGCGUCUCUCCCUUCUACGUCGGCGUCCAUGAAGCCUUAUUCAAACGUUUGACCUCGGAUCAGGUAGGGAUACCCGCUGAACUUAAGCAUAUCAUAAGACGAAGGAAAUGC